rnacentral:lncRNA from 1 species
AAAACUUAUUUUGCAUCUCCUGUCACAUGGUGAGGCCAAAAACAAUAUCCACAUCUAUGUAACAAACAAAAAACUGAUCAAAUAGAACAAAAGGGAACCAAUCACCAAACCAGAACCGCUUUUCCUUCAAAAAUGGUGAAGAACCACACAAAGAUCCAUCUGAAAUGGAAGUGCAUAAACAAUAAGCAAGGGGAAAGCCCAGGAAGAAGACAAUGACAGUAGAAAAAUAUUAUACUCCCUCUACAAUGCUUCACGUCCAACAACCAGACCAAGAUAGCCCCACCUUAAGCUCCGACUUUGGUAGAAUCAAAACUUAUUUUGUAUCUCCUGUCAAAGGGUGGGACCAAAAACAAUAUACACAUGUACGUAACAAACAAAAAAUAGAUUAAACAGAGCAAAAGGGAACCAAGCACCAAACCAGAACCGCCUUCCCACGAGAACUGGUUAAUUAGAACCCAAAGAUCAAACAUUUGAAGAUUAAAGAGCAUAACAAUAAGCAAAGGGAAAAAGUUCACCUAGAAGAUAAAUCACAAUAGAAAAAUAAUAUACUCCUGUUGACACCCACCAUAAACACUAUACCAAUGGCAGCAUCCAAGAUUGGUCCAUAUCCAAAUAACCAGACCAAGAUAGCCUCACCUUAAAUACCUAACUUUGAUGGAAUCAAAACCAAUUUUGUAUCUCCUGACACAGGGUGAGGCAGAAAACAAGGUCCAAGUCUACGUAACAAAAUAAAACUAUAAUAGAGAGCAAAGAUAACCAAGGAUCAAACCAGAACAGUCUUCCACAGAAGCCUGAUUAAGAAACACACAACGAUCCGGCAUCUGGAAAUUGAAAAGAAUAACGAUAAGCAAGGGAAAGUUUAGGUAGAAUAUAAAAUUUAGUAAAAAAGUUACAAUACUAUACUCCCUAUGCAACCCUUGAUAAACACUAUAUCAAUGACAGCGUCAAAGGUUGCUCCGUGUCCAACAAUCAGACCAAGAUUGCACCACCAUAAGCUCCUACUUUGAUAGAAUCAAAACUUAAUUUAUAUUUUGUGUCAUAGGGUGAUGCAGAAAACAAUAUCCACGCCAACGUAACAAACAAAAAACUGAUGAAAGAGAAAAAAGAUAACAAAGCAUCAAACCGAACAGCCUUCCAAUUAAGAACCACAACGAUCAGAAAUCUGAAAAUUGAAGAGUAUAACGACAAGCACCGGAAACUCUAGGUAGAAGAGAAAAUAUAGUAGAAGAAAAUGUAGUAUAACAAUCUGCAUCCCUCAAUAAACAUUAUAUCAAUUGACAUCUUAUAUUAGUCCGCAUCCAACAACCCCACCAAGUUGGCCCCCACCUUAAGCUCCCACUUUGAUAGAAUAAAACUGAAUUUGUAUCUCCUGUCACAGGGUGAGGGCGAAAAAAAUAUCAAAGUCUACGUAACAAAAAAAAAAAAACUAUAAUAGAGAACACAGACAACCAAGCGUCAAACAAGAACUGCCUUUCAGAGAAGCUUGAUUAAGAACAAAACAGCAACCAAAGAUUUGUCCAUGUCCAAAAACCAGACCAAGAUAGCCCCCACCUUAAGCUCCUACUUUGAUAGAAUCAAAACCUAUUUUGUAUCUCCUGUCACAGGGUGAGGCUGAAAACAACAUCCAAGUCUACAUAACAGCAAAAGAACUAUAAUUGAGAGAGCAAAGAUAACCAAUUAUCAAACCCGAACUGCCUUCCAGUUAAACUUGAUUAAGAACCACAUAAUGAACAGGCAUCUGGAAAUGGAAGAGAGACUAACAAUAACCACAGGAAAGUCUAGAUGGAAGAUAAAUUGUAGUAGAAAAAAAUACUAUAUUAUACUCCCUCUGCCAUCCUCGAUAAACACUAUAAUUGACAGCGUCAAAGGUUGAUCUGUGGCCAAUAUAACUAAACCAAGAUUAGCCCCACCUUGAGCUCCUACUUUGAUAAAAUCAAAACAAAAUUUUUAUCAUCUGCCAUAGGAUGAGGCAGAAAUACAAUAUACACGUAUACGUAACAAACAAAAAAACUGAUGAUAGAGAGAAAAGAUAAACCCAGCAUCAAACCAGAAGUGCCUUCAAGUAAAGAACACCUGGAAAUUGAAGAGUAUAACGAUAAGUAUAGGAAACUCAAGGUAAAAGAGAAAACGUAAAAAAAAAAAAAAUAACUAUACUGUACACCAUCUGCCACCCUCGACAAACACUAUAUCAAUGAUGGCAUCAUAGAUUAGUCCAUAUCCAAAAACCAGACCAAGAUAACCCCCACCUUAAGCUUCAACUUUGAUAGAAUCAAAACCUAUUUUGUCUCCUGGCACAGGGUGAGGACCAAAACAUUGUCCAAGUCUACAUAACAAAUAAACAAUAAUUACAGAGCAAAGGUGACCAAUUAGCAAACCAGAACAGCCUUCCCGUGAAGCUUGAUUAAAAACCACACAGCGAUCAGGCAUCUGGAAAUUGAUGAGAACAACGGUAAGCAUGGGAAAGUCUAGGUAGAAGAUAAAAGAUAGUAAAAAAAAAAAAAACUAUUCUAUACUCUCUUUGCCAGGCCCACACCACUAUAUCAAUGACAGCAUCAAAGGUAGAUCCGUGUUCAAUAACCAGGCCAACAUUAGCCACACCAUAAGCUCCUUCUUUCAAAACUUAAUUUUUAUCUCCUAUCAUAGGGUGAGGCAGAGAACAAUAUCCACGUCUACAUAACAACAAAAAAUUGUUGAAACUGACAAAAGAUAACCAAGAAAACAAGAAGUGCCAUCCAUUAUGGAAAUUGAAGAGUAUAACUAUAAACACGGGAAACUCUAGGUAGAAGAGAAAAUGUAGUAGAAAAAAAAAAUACUAUUAUGUAUUUCCUUUGCGACCCUCGAUUUACAAUAUACCAAUGAUAACAUCAAAGAUCUGUCCGCGUCCAAAAACCAGACCAAGAUAGCCCCCACAUUAAGCUCCUACAGUGAUGGAAUCAAAACCUAUUUUGUAUCUCCUGUCACAGGGUAGGCCCAAAACAAUAUCCAAGUCUAUAUAACAACAAAAGAAAUAUAAUAGAGAGAUCAAAUGCAACCAAUUAUGAACCCAGAACUGCCUUCCAGUUAAGCUUGAUUAAGAACCACACAACGAUCAGGCAUCUGGAAAUUGAAGAGAAUAACAAUAAGCACGGGAAAGUCAAGAUGGAAGAUAAAUUGUAGCAGAAUUAAUACAAUACUAUACUCCCUCUGACACCCUCGAUAAACAUUAUAUCAGUGACAGCAUCAAAAGUUGAUAUGUCUCCAAUAACUAGACCAAGAUUAGCCCCACCAUAAGCUGCUUCUUUCACAACUUAAUUUUUAACCCCUGUCACAAGGUGAGGCAGAAAACAAUAUCCACGUCUACGUAACAAAUAAAAGAUUGUUGAAACUGACAAAAGAUAACCAAGCAUACCAGAAGUGCCUUCCAGUUAAGAACCACACAACAAUCAGACAUCUGGAAAUUGAAGAGUAUAACUAUUAGCACGGGAAACUCUAGGUAGAAGAGAAAAUGUAGUAGAAAAAAAAUACUAUUAUGUACUCCAUGUACUCCCUUUACCACCCACAUUAAACUAUAUCAAUGACAGCAUGAAGGAUUUGUCAGUGUACCAAAAACCAGACCAAGACACGCCCCCACCUUAAGCUCCUACUUUGAUAGAAUCAGAACCUAUUUUGUAUCUCCUAUCACAGGGUGAGGCUGAAACCAACAUCGAGUCUAAAUAACAACAAAAGAACUACAAUAGAGAGAGCAAAGGUAACCAACUAUCAAACCCGAACUGCCGUCCAGUAAGCUUGAUUAAGAACCACACAACGAUCGGGCAUCUGGAAAUGGAAGAGAAUAACGAUAAGCACCGGAAGGUCUAGAUGGAAGAUAAAUUGUAUUAGAAGAAAUACUAUACUAACUCCCUCUGCCACCCUCGAAAAACAUAUCAUGACCAUCAAAGGAUUGAUUGUGUGCAAUAACUGACUAAGAUUAGCCCUACCUUAAGCCCUACUUUGAUAAAAUUAAAACUUAAUUUUUAUCUCAUGUCAUAGGGUGGGGCAGAAAACAAUAUCACGUCUAUGUACAAACAAAAAUUGUUGAAAUGACAAAAGAUAACCAAACAUCAAACCAGAAGUGUCAUCCAGUUAAGAACCACCCCACGAUCAGACAUCUGGAAAUUGAAGAGUAUAUCUAUAAGCACGGGAAACUCUAGGUAGAAGAGAAAAUGUAUAGAAAUAAAAAUACUAUUAUGUACUCCCUUUGCCACCCUCGAUUAACACAAUAUCAAUGACUCAUCAAAGAUCUGUCCGCGUCCAAAAACCAGACCAAGAUAGCCCCCACAUUAAGCUCCUACAGUGAUGGAAUCAAAACCUAUUUUGUAUCUCCUGUCACAGGGUAGGCCCAAAACAAUAUCCAAGUCUAUAUAACAACAAAAGAAUAUAAUAGAGAGAUCAAAUGCAACCAAUUAUGAACCCAGAACUGCCUUCCAGUUAAGCUUGAUUAAGAACCAAACAACGAUCAGGCAUCUGGAAAUCGAAGAGAAUAACAAUAAGCACGGGAAAGUCAAGAUGGAAGAUAAAUUGUAGCAGAAUUAAUACAAUACUAUACUCCCUCUGACACCCUCGAUAAACAUUAUAUCAGUGACAGCAUCAAAAGUUGAUGUCUCCAGUAACUAGACCAAGAUUAGCCCCACCAUAAGCUGCUUCUUUCACAACUUAAUUUUUAACUCCUGUCACAAGGUGAGGCAGAAAACAAUAUCCACGUCUACGUAACAAAUAAAAGAUUGUUGAAACUGACAAAAGAUAACCAAGCAUACCAGAAGUGCCUUCCAGUUAAGAACCACACAACAAUCAGACAUCUGGAAAUUGAAGAGUAUAACUAUUAGCACGGGAAACUCUAGGUAGAAGAGAAAAUGUAGGUAGAAAAAAAAUACUAUUAGUACUCCCUUUACCACCCACUAUUAACACUAUAUCAAUGACAGCAUGAAGGAUUUGUCAGUGUCCAAAAACCAGACCAAGACAGCCCCCACCUUAAGCUCCUACUUGAUAGAAUCAGAACCUAUUUUGUAUCUCCUAUCACAGGGUGAGGCUGAAACCAACAUCCGAGUCUAAAUAACAACAAAAGAACUACAAUAGAGAGAGCAAAGGUAACCAACUAUCAAACCCGAACUGCCGUCCAGUUAAGCUUGAUUAAGAACCACACAACGAUCGGGCAUCUGGAAAUGAAGAGAAUAACGAUAAGCACCGGAAGGUCUAGAUGGAAGAUAAAUUGUAUAGAAGAAAUACUAUACUAUACUCCCUCUGCCACCCUCGAUAAACACACUAUAUAGUGACCACGUCAAAGGAUUGACUUGUGUGCAAUAACUUGACUAAGAUUAGCCCUACCUUAAGCUCCUACUUGAUAAAAUUAAAACUUAAUUUUUAUCUCAUGUCAUAGGGUGGGGCAGAAAACAAUAUCCACGUCUAUGUAGCAAACAAAAUUGUUGAACUGACAAAAGAUAACCAAACAUCAAACAGAAGUGUCUCCAGUUAAGAACCACCCCACGAUCAGACAUCUGGAAAUUGAAGAGUAUAUCUAUAAGCACGGGAAACUCGAGGUAGAAGAGAAAAUGUAGUAGAAUAAAAAUACUAUUAUGUACUCCCUUUGCCACCCUCGAUUAACACAAUAUCAAUGACUACAUCAAAGAUCUGUCGCGUCCAAAAACCAGACCAAGAUAGCCCCCACAUUAAGCUCCUACAGUGAUGGAAUCAAAACCUAUUUUGUAUCUCCUGUCACAGGGUAGGCUCAAAACAAUAUCCAAGUCUAUAUAACAACAAAAGAAAUAUAAUAGAGAGAUCAAAUGCAACCAAUUAUGAACCCAGAACUGCCUUCCAGUUAAGCUUGAUUAAGAACCAAACAACGAUCAGGCAUCUGGAAAUCGAAGAGAAUAACAAUAAGCACGGGAAAGUCAAGAUGGAAGAUAAAUUGUAGCAGAAUUAAUACAAUACUAUACUCCCUCUGACACCCUCGAUAAACAUUAUAUCAGUGACAGCAUCAAAAGUUGAUAGUCUCCAUAACUAGACCAAGAUUAGCCCCACCAUAAGUGCUUCUUUCACAACUUAAUUUUUAACCCCUGUCACAAGGUGAGGCAGAAAACAAUAUCCACGUCUACGUAACAAAUAAAAGAUUGUUGAAACUGACAAAAGAUAACCAAGCAUACCAGAAGUGCCUUCCAGUUAAGAACCACACAACAUCAGACAUCUGGAAAUUGAAGAGUAUAUCUAUAGCACGGGAAAUUCUAGGUAGAAGAGAAAAUGUAGUAGAAAAAAAAUACUAUUAUGUACUCCCUUUCCACCCCGAUUAAACAUAUCAAUGACCAUAAGAUUGUCGGUCCAAAAACCAGACCAAGACAGCCCCCACCUUAAGCUCCUACUUUGAUAGAAUCAGAACCUAUUUUGUAUCUCCUAUCACAGGGUGAGGCUGAAACCAACAUCGAGUCUAAAUAACAACAAAAGAACUACAAUAGAGAAAGCAAAGGUAACCAACUAUCAAACCCGAACUGCCGUCCAGUUAAGCUUGAUUAAGAACCACACAACGAUCGGGCAUCUGGAAAUGGAAGAGAAUAACGAUAAGCACCGGAAGGUCUAGAUGGAAGAUAAAUUGUAUUAGAAGAAAUACUAUCUAUACUCCCUCUGCCACCCUCGAUAAACACACUAUAUCAGUGACCACGUCAAAGGAUUGACUUGUGUGCAAUAACUUGACUAAGAUUAGCCCUACUUAAGCUCCUACUUUGAUAAAAUUAAAACUUAAUUUUUAUCUCAUGUCAUAGGGUGGGGCAGAAAACAAUAUCCACGUCUAUGUACAAACAAAAUUGUUGAAAUGACAAAAGAUAAC